ACUGUCCCUAGAAGCCUUGCAUUGUGGUUCUUGUGUCACAUGGUCAUCAGUAAGUUGAAGAGAGCAGAUAUGUCUAUGCUCAGCAUUCUAACUACGAUCAUCUGAAUGAUUAGUAACCUA
ensembl:snoRNA LOC120096827 small nucleolar RNA SNORA17